AAAACGCCAUUGAAUAUAGAACAACACGCUUCACUGCUUUGAAGUUAUUAGUUUUUAGCACUUUAUUAUACCUAACACCUCUGCGCUCAAUUCGUUAUAAAUGCGGUAUUGCGAAAUUAGAUCACAUUUGAAAUUUUGAAUUAAUUGCAGUGGUAACUAGCAGAACUUGGAAAAUGUUGCGUUCCAUAGUUUUCGGUUUGCUCAUUUGUGUGAGUCUGCAUUUGGUGCUCUCUGGUACCGUUGGCUCUUCAGCUGCAUUAAGCUCAGCGCUUAAAACCUCCAGCUCUUCACAGCUUUCUAGGAACGCGACUGGCAUUUCGCAUGCCAAUUGUAUAUCUGUUCAAAUUGGUACGCCACGACCAAGCACCACCACAACAGUUGCCCCUGCAACAUAAAUCUGAAUAGGGGAAUUCAAUUAUUAAUUAGUGAAAAAUGUAUCUUAGAAAAUUAUUUAAUAUAUUAUGCGUGAAAAUAUUUGAUAAAUAUCAUUAGAAAACUCUGAACUAAAUCCUGAACUAAGCUAAUAACAAUGUCACGCUAUUAUUGAUGAAAUUACUUAAAUCCGGAAUAUAUUAACCCCUGCCGGUCAGUUUUUCAAAACAUUAUAAGACGAAUAAGAAAAAUAGCAAAUAAAUUGCCGGUGAAAAGCUAGAA